CGGCGUGCCUAAUACAUGCAAGUCGAGCGAAUGAUUAGAGAAGCUUGCUUCUCUCUGAUUUAGCGGCGGACGGGUGAGUAACACGUGGGUAACCUGCCUUGUAGACUGGGAUAACUUCGGGAAACCGGAGCUAAUACCGGAUAAUACUUUUGAACUCAUGUUUGGAAGUUGAAAGAUGGUUUCGGCUAUCACUAUAAGAUGGACCCGCGGCGCAUUAGCUAGUUGGUGAGGUAAUGGCUCACCAAGGCAACGAUGCGUAGCCGACCUGAGAGGGUGAUCGGCCACACUGGGACUGAGACACGGCCCAGACUCCUACGGGAGGCAGCAGUAGGGAAUCUUCCACAAUGGACGAAAGUCUGAUGGAGCAACGCCCGCGUGAGUGAUGAAGGAUUUCGGUUCGUAAAACUCUGUUGUAAGGGAAGGACAAGUAGCGUAGUAACUGGCGUUACCUUGACGGUACCUUAUUAGAAAGCCACGGCUAACUACGUGCCAGCCGCCGC
rnacentral:rRNA from 1 species